rnacentral:lncRNA from 9 species
CUCGGGUCCUACGGUCACCAGACUGCGGGGCGGGCGGGCCUCAGCAUGCAGGCGCAGUAACCUCAAAACCCCGAAGCUGGAACCUUUCUUUCCUGGUAGCUGGCAACUUCACCUCUGCCCUGGGCUUGAUUUUCCUGACCACUCCUCCCCAUCUUCUUUGUCUUCAAGGUUUUCCCUGUCCCUGCACUGCUCGUUUGGUCACCUUUUGAGAGAAAAGAACACUGAUCCCAUUAAAAGGCCCUGUUGUUUGCCAGAUGAGGUCACCAGACUGGUAAGUAGCAAGGCUGGGACUCCACUAGGAAUAUCUGACUUUAAAAGCCAUGUUCCUGUCACCCAGAAUGCACAUGCUGAUGCAGCUGAACAGAAGAGCUUUAAAGGUUGGCUUCUGGAGGAUUUUCCUGUUCUCAGAUGUCAGACACACAUCCUCCCUCAGACCCCUUACUUUUCCAGAAGUUUGCUCUGGGAAUUCAGUCAAGAAGGAUUCCCCUCUUACCCAACACAAGAGAGACCUGAAUAUCCCAGGCUGCCUCUUGCAAAAUUCUUGGACCUCUUCGACCUUCCUCGCUGCUGCUUCCCUCAUUCUUUCAGUGCGUUCAUUCUACAAACAUGCCUCAAGGGCGCAUGA